rnacentral:rRNA from 1 species
GACGAAGGGGGCUAGCGUUGUUCGGAAUUACUGGGCGUAAAGCGAGUGUAGGCGGUUGUCCAAGUUGGAUGUGAAAGCCUUGAGCUUAACUCAAGAAAUGCAUUCAGGACUGGAUGGCUAGAGGACCGGAGAGGAUAGUGGAAUUCCCAGUGUAGUGGUGAAAUACGUAGAGAUUGGGAAGAACACCAGUGGCGAAGGCGGCUAUCUGGACGGUUACUGACGCUAAGACUCGAAAAGCGUGGGGAGCGAACAGG